rnacentral:rRNA from 1 species
ACGGAAGGCAGCAGUGGAGAAUAUUGCACAAUGGGGGAAACCCUGAUGCAGCGACGCCGCGUGAGUGAAGAAGUAUUUCGGUAUGUAAAGCUCUAUCAGCAGGGAAGAAAAUGACGGUACCUGACUAAGAAGCCCCGGCUAACUACGUGCCAGCAGCCGCGGUAAUACGUAGGGGGCAAGCGUUAUCCGGAUUUACUGGGUGUAAAGGGAGCGUAGACGGCAAGGUAAGUCUGAAGUGAAAUGCCGGGGCUCAACCCCGGAACUGCUUUGGAAACUAUCUCGCUCGAGUACCGGAGGGGUAAGCGGAAUUCCUAGUGUAGCGGUGAAAUGCGUAGAUAUUAGGAGGAACACCAGUGGCGAAGGCGGCUUACUGGACAGUAACUGACGUUGAGGCUCGAAAGCGUGGGGAGCAAACAGGAUUAGAUACCCUGGUA